UACGUGGGGUGCAAGCGUUGUCCGGAAUUAUUGGGCGUAAAGAGCUCGUAGGCGGUCUGUCGCGUCGGCUGUGAAAACCCGGAGCUCAACUCCGGGCCUGCAGUCGAUACGGGCAAACUGGAGUGUUGCAGGGGAGACUGGAAUUCCUGGUGUAGCGGUGAAAUGCGCAGAUAUCAGGAGGAACACCGGUGGCGAAGGCGGGUCUCUGGGCAACAACUGACGCUGAGGAGCGAAAGCGUGGGUAGCAAACAGG
rnacentral:rRNA from 1 species